GUUGGAAAUUCGCUCCGAGCCGUUCCGCCUAAAGCGCCGUUUCCCGGUGUCAUGGCGGCCCGGCCGAGGGUGGCAGUUGGAAACCCUGCCGCCUCCCGUGCUUGGAAAGGAGCCAUGCGAUGACACAU
rnacentral:ncRNA from 20 species